CUUAUCUUGAGUAGAACGCACGUGGUUCGAGAAGGUACCACUCGAGAAAGAUCCGUGCACCGAGAGAGAUGAUUUGAGAAGUAAAUAUCUUGCUUUUGGUGCUGGAUGAAGAUGGCAGAAGUAGAAGUGAUGACGAAUUACAGGAUCCAACAUUUCAAUGCAGAGAUGUCCAUGUGGCUGAGAACAGAUUCUGGGGACUUAAAAUGGUGUCAAGUGGCAAUCCACUGCAUGGGGGAUGUUUAGCUUCAUUCCUUCACAGACUUGUGGUUCUGUUGACAGUCUUGAAGCAAGGUGGUAGCUGGGUAAGAAUCGAGGAGUGCCAGCUCUUCUGUCCUGUGAAUUUCAACCUGAAGGUCAGCAUGAAAGUUGUACGUUCAGGCCUUGCACCUCUAGCAGUUGGUGGAUUGAAGUCCAUGAGUUUGUAAUAGACAUCUUAUUGAAGAUGACCACUUGAACCCUGGUCAGCUUUCAACCAUCUAGGAUGGGGGAGCAGGUGUCUAGUGGUUAUGUUCAGACUAAAUUAUCUGAUGUGUUAUUUUGAAGGUGGGCUACCUUGGAGGUUGACUAUGCAUCAUUCUGACCAAGGACCAUAAGGAACAAGUAUUUCUGCAGCAAGAUGUGAUUUCUCUGAGUCUUCCUUUCAUAGUGUUCAAUUCUAAAUAAAUCCUCAUUGCCAGAC